rnacentral:rRNA from 1 species
CCGGAUCUGGAAGCAUCGUAAGGUGUGGAGGUGACCGGUACUAAUAGACCAAACAUUCAACACACAAAGU